GUUGAAACACCUGUUCUCAUAUGAUCACCAAAGUUAAGCAAUGUUAAGCCUGGUCAGUACCAAGAUGGGUGAUCACUUAAGAACAUGAGGU